rnacentral:rRNA from 1 species
GACGAAGGAUCCAAGCGUUAUCCGGAUUUAUUGGGUUUAAAGGGUGCGUAGGCGGAUUGAUAAGUCAGUGGUGAAAGCCUGCAGCUUAACUGCAGAACUGCCAUUGAUACUGUCAAUCUUGAAUAUGGUUGAUGUGGGCGGAAUAUGACAUGUAGCGGUGAAAUGCUUAGAUAUGUCAUAGAACACCGAUUGCGAAGGCAGCUCACAAAGCCAUUAUUGACGCUGAGGCACGAAAGCGUGGGGGAUC